AAAUUAUACAGCGAUUUUAUACUGGAUAUAUUAUGGUCCUUUMACGUAGAACCUGGGCCUUCGUGACACGCACCCUCUACCCACUUGAAUGGGCUUGCAAAUAACCGAAGUWAAAUAUUUAGUUAAUGACUGCUUUAAAGUACCUAUUUAAUGCCGGAGAACUAAAAAUGCGUGCAAAAUGAUACGUCUUAUUUGAUAAGAAGUAAUUAUUAUCUUUUGAGGAAACGAAGUUUUGAACCUGAAUCUUGUUAUGAAUUAUGUAAUCCAGGGAAGAGUAUAGCCGUAUAAUUUUGCAACAUCGGAGUACCGACCUUGCAUUUAAGUGGUAUGUUUCAAAUAAAAUGACAUGCACCUAUGUACCUAUGUUAUUUAUUGACGGUGCCUACCUAUUAGGAUAACAAAGGCCAACCAAUACAAGAAAUGAUAAGGAGCAGGAAAUACGGCAAAGGUGAGGAGGAAUUGUUUUUAUUAUCUGCAAUUCUGAUAGCAAAGUGUCCAGGGUUCAAUUACAAACAUUAGCUAGAUUCAAAACGCAAGAGUAGGCAAAUCAGUUACGUAUCGACUAUCAAACUACCACUUAGGCCACUUCAACGUCUCGCUCAGGUUAGUUCGCAUAAAUAUUAAAUAAUAUACUUAAUAUAGUGUGUAUUGUUAGUUUAGAUUCUUCUAUUUUAGUAAAAAUCAUAAAUCAUCAUAAUCAUUCAACUGUUUUUAUUUCGAUUGUUGAAGCAU